rnacentral:rRNA from 1 species
UGGGGAAUAUUGCACAAUGGGCGCAAGCCUGAUGCAGCCAUGCCGCGUGUAUGAAGAAGGCCUUCGGGUUGUAAAGUACUUUCAGCGGGGAGGAAGGGAGUAAAGUUAAUACCUUUGCUCAUUGACGUUACCCGCAGAAGAAGCACCGGCUAACUCCGUGCCAGCAGCCGCGGUGAUACGGAGGGUGCAAGCGUUAAUCGGAAUUACUGGGCGUAAAGCGCACGCAGGCGGUUUGUUAAGUCAGAUGUGAAAUCCCCGGGCUCAACCUGGGAACUGCAUCUGAUACUGGCAAGCUUGAGUCUCGUAGAGGGGGGUAGAAUUCCAGGUGUAGCGGUGAAAUGCGUAGAGAUCUGGAGGAAUACCGGUGGCGAAGGCGGCCCCCUGGACGAAGACUGACGCUCAGGUGCGAAAGCGUGGGGAGCAAACAGG